GAUGAAGAACGCAGUGAAAUGCGAUAAGUAGUGUGAAUUGCAGAAUUCAGUGAAUCAUCGAAUCUUUGAACGCACAUUGCGCCCUUUGGUAUUCCAAAGGGCAUGCCUGUUCGAGCGUCAUUUGUACCCUCAAGCUUUGCUUGGUGUUGGGCGUCUUGUCUCUAGCUUUGCUGGAGACUCGCCUUAAAGUAAUUGGCAGCCGGCCUACUGGUUUCGGAGCGCAGCACAAGUCGCACUCUCUAUCAGCAAAGGUCUAGCAUCCACUAAGCCUUUUUUUCAACUUUUGACCUCGGAUCAGGUAGGGAUACCCGCUGAACUUAAGCAUAUCAAUAGCGGAGGA
rnacentral:misc_RNA from 1 species